AUGGACUUACUGAGAACACACAAGGGUGUUGUAAAGACUAUUCAAUUGUGCACCACACAGCAGAGUUUCUUAACAUUCUUCUUAGACAUCAAUUUUCACUCCUCAAUUCAUUUAUGGAUAUUAGCUGUCACAUUUCAAUGUUUGCUUUCUCCACAGCCUCCAAUCCAUUGGGAUGAGAAUGUUUGCUUACAGAUGCCCAGAGUACAGCAGAAUCCAACCCAACAAGCCAGUGCACCCUUUAGCAGCACUUCCUGGAGAUCUCAUCCUCAGAACUAUCAAGUUACCGAUAUAUUCAUCACCCUGGUCAUCUGUUUCUUCGGCUCAUCUUUCUCAUUUGUAACCAGAUAGCAGAUAUGUUGUGACCGUGGGAGGAAGUGAAACCCUCAUGCAUCACAAGGUGAAACUGUACACUGGGAGUGAUAGAACACAAGUUAAAAGAAUUUAAAUGUUGAUAAUCUCUGAGCCACCAUGCCAGCCAGUGUAUAUAGAAGAACUAGGCAGGCAUGCCAUGUAGGCCACUGUUGUUUUAGGUUUUCUUUCACAAUGCUGAGUAUAAAUCCUAAAUAUGGUAGAUUUAUUACUGUGCUUUUUUUUAAAAAAAAAUGAGAAGAAAUUACAGUUCACAAGUAUUAACUGAUUUUCUCAA
rnacentral:lncRNA from 1 species